GUUACUUCCUCUUCCAUCCAAACCAAGCCUGACCUGCUAUAGAGAACAACAAAAACCUCCAUAACAAGUCGGGGCAAAAUGGGAAAUAAACUGAUCACCAAGGUGUUUAAUGAUCCCAUCCAUGGUAGCAUAGAGUUACACCCACUCCUCAUCAAGAUCAUUGACACACCUCAGUUCCAGAGACUUCGAUUCAUAAAGCAGCUUGGAGGUGUCUACUUUGUUUACCCUGGAGCGUCUCACAACCGCUUUGAACACUCG